rnacentral:rRNA from 1 species
GACGAACGCUGGCGGCGUGCUUAACACAUGCAAGUCGAACGGGCAUGCCCCUUUGGGGUUACUCGAGUGGCGAACUGGCGAGUAACACGUUAGUAACCUGCUCUUCUCUUCGGGUUUACUUCAGGACACUGUGGCUAAUCCCGUAUAGGAAUCCUUUCUGCAUUGUGGGGGUUGGGAAGCUUCGGCGGUUUUGGUUGUAUUCGCGGCUUAGCUGCUUGUUGGUGGGGUAGUGGUUUACCCAGGCGUUGACGGGUAGCCGGCCUGAGAGGGCGAGCGGCCACAAUGGGACUGAGAGACGGCCGAGACGCCUACGGGAGGAAGAAGGGGGGAAGAGUGCAAAAUGGGCGGAGGCAUGAUGCAGCAGGGCCGCGGGCGGGAGGACGGCCUUCGGGUUGUAAACCGCUUUCAGCAGGGGCGAGGCUUGUGGUGACGGUACCGGCAGAAGAAGCACCGGCUAACUACGUG